UCCGAUAUGGUGUAACGGUUAGCAUACCUCGUUUUCAAGCCAUCAAAGCAAGUCUUUGAAGCUGAAAUCCGAGGACAUCGGGGUUCGAUUCCCCGUAUCGGAG